AACGCAUCUUGCGCUCCUUGGUAUUCCGAGGAGCAUGCCUGUUUGAGUGUCGCGAACUCCUCUCAAUGUCAACUUUGCUGUUGACAUUGGAUUUGGGUGCUGUUGUGGACAUGAACACGACUCAUCCUAAAUGCAUUAGCGAUCCGUCCUUGAUCACGCACAAUGUGAUAAAUAAAAUAGCAUUGUGAAGAUGAAGUGUGGGUUGCUUCUAACCGUCGAAAGACAACAUAUGUCGUUUGACCUCAAAUCAGGUAGGACUACCCGCUGAACUUAA
rnacentral:misc_RNA from 1 species